UACAGAGGUCUCAAGCGUUGUUCGGAAUUACUGGGCGUAAAGGGCGCGUAGGCGGCACGGUAAGUCGGGAGUGAAAGCCCGGGGCUCAACCCCGGAACGUCUUUCGAAACUGCCGAGCUAGAGUGCGGAAGAGGCAACUGGAAUUCCCAGUGUAGCGGUGAAAUGCGUAGAUAUUGGGAAGAACACCUGAGGCGAAGGCGGGUUGCUGGGCCGACACUGACGCUGAUGCGCGAAAGCCAGGGGAGCGAACGGG
rnacentral:rRNA from 1 species